rnacentral:rRNA from 1 species
AGUGAACGCUGGCGGUAGGCCUAACACAUGCAAGUCGAACGGCAGCACAGGAGAGCUUGCUCUCUAGGUGGCGAGUGGCGGACGGGUGAGGAAUACAUCGGAAUCUGCCCAGUCGUGGGGGAUAACGUAGGGAAACUUACGCUAAUACCGCAUACGACCUUCGGGUGAAAGAGGGGGAUCGCAAGACCUCUCGCGAUUGGAUGAGCCGAUGUCGGAUUAGCUAGUUAGCGGGGUAAUGGCCCACCAAGGCGACGAUCCGUAGCUGGUCUGAGAGGAUGAUCAGCCACACUGGAACUGAGACACGGUCCAGACUCCUACGGGAGGCAGCAGUGGGGAAUAUUGGACAAUGGGCGCAAGCCUGAUCAGCCAUACCGCGUGGGUGAAGAAGGCCUUCGGGUUGUAAAGCCCUUUUGUUGGGAAAGAAAUCUUUCAGGCUAAUACCCUGGGAGGAUGACGGUACCCAAAGAAUAAGCACCGGCUAACUUCGUG